rnacentral:rRNA from 1 species
UUGGACAUGGGCGAAGCCUGAUCCAGCCAUGCCGCGUGUGUGAAGAAGGUCUUCGGAUUGUAAAGCACUUUAAGUUGGGAGGAAGGGCAGUAAGUUAAUACCUUGCUGUUUUGACGUUACCAACAGAAUAAGCACCGGCUAACUUCGUGCCAGCAGCCGCGGUAAUACGAAGGGUGCAAGCGUUAAUCGGAAUUACUGGGCGUAAAGCGCGCGUAGGUGGUUCAGCAAGUUGGAGGUGAAAUCCCCGGGCUCAACCUGGGAACUGCCUCCAAAACUACUGAGCUAGAGUACGGUAGAGGGUAGUGGAAUUUCCUGUGUAGCGG